UACGUAGGGGGCAAGCGUUGUCCGGAUUUAUUGGGCGUAAAGAGCUCGUAGGCGGUUCCGUAAGUCGGGUGUGAAAAAUCUGGGCUCAACCCAGUGGAGCACCCGAUACUGCGGUGACUCGAGUCCGGUAGGGGAGUGUGGAAUUCCUGGUGUAGCGGUGAAAUGCGCAGAUAUCAGGAGGAACACCGACGGCGAAGGCGGCAUCCUGGACCGGUAUUGACGCUGAGGCGCGAAAGCCAGGGGAGCAAACGGG
rnacentral:rRNA from 1 species